ensembl:lncRNA
CCCUGCGCCCGAGCUCCGAGGCCGCGCUUCCUGCGUCCGCGUCCCGGUCUCCGCGCGGAUCGCGCGCCCUCUCCGCGCCGCGCUCCCUCGACCGAGGCUCCCCAGAGCCCCCAGCCCGCGAUCGUGGCGUCCCCGAAGAAGCAGCUCAGGGUAGGGGUGUCGCGCCGCCCCUAACCCCGGGCCGCCGGGCAGAAACCCAGCCGGACCCGCCGCCGCCCGGGUGAGAAUUUCUAGGCUUCCCCCCACACAAAGUUCACACCGGAAAUAAAUGUGCAACAGAUCUGAGGCUGCCUGGCUCUUGGAUCUUCUCCCAGUCACUGUCAGGAGCCCUCCAAAGCUCAGAGCCCCACACUGCUACUUGCCGUAAGGAGAUUUCAGGUCUACGGGACACAGUGGACAGUGGCCUCAGUCAGGGUCAGCCAGGGAAGCCGAGCCAUGUGACCUGUGGAAUGAGGGAUUUGUGGCAGGUGGUGGGAGUGAGGUCUCACACGAACACAGGGGAAACAGAGCAGAGGUGAAAGGAUUGUUGUCAGCAGGGCAUCUCCAGCUGAUCCACUGGAAGUCAGAUGUCCACUUGCAGAGUGGGACAGGAGGGAGGCUGGUGCAAAUGUCUGUCAUCAGCCUUGCAUGGCAGGUCCCCAGCCAAGUGUCCCAUGGUGGCUUGGGCCACUGUGGUCAGCAGGAAGAGCGAUACAGAGUGGAAGGAAGACAGGCUGGAACCUUCUGGAACCCACAGCUUGUCUGCCCCUGCAUCUGACCUCAAGAGGGUAAUGGCUGCUGUCUCAAUUCCACCUUCCAAAUCUCCACAUCCUCUUUUGGCCAGUUUGCACCCUGAACCUGACAGAGGAAGUUUCUGGGAAAAGUAACUCCAGCUUGACCGAGUGGACAUUGCAUGAACUUCCCCACUGUGCCCACAGGCAGUUUGGAAGACCCUGCAAUGGGUCCCCAGCUCUCCCAGCCACCCUCUGCCUGGGUCAUCAGCUGGACUGACAGACACCCUUUAUGAACUUCACAAACAGAUUCCCAGGCCCCAGCCUGGCCUGUGGGCCAGGAAAAUUCGGCCUCUGAAUUUUCAACAAGUUCUCUAGUUGAACCAAGUAUCCAGCCAAGCUUGGGACUUCUGAUACAUGGAAAGAGUGGGCUCUGGGACCAGACGAUGUGGUUAGAAUGCCAGCCCCACCACCUGCUGGCUUUGUGAUCUGGGGCAAACCCACCCUUUCUGUUCUGAUGGUAUUUACUUAUCUGUAAAAUGGGGACAGUGCCUGCCUUCCUCAUGGAGGGCUGUGGGCACUGAAACAUGUGGUGUUCACAAGCCCCUGGUGUAUGAAACACUGCUGUGCCCAAGACAGUGAACAGUUGCACCCAUACCUGUCCAGGCAGCAUGUCAGAUGGACCCCACUCUUCUUUCUUCCUAGGAAGCUGGGCCUGAGCUUGACUGUACUCUCACAUGGAUUGUUUUGCUGAUAUCACAAAAACCUGACUUGCUUUUCCUGAGCCACAUUCAUAUUCCAGGCAUUGUUUCAUGUAAAUAUCACUUGCUUAUUUUUUUGUAAGCAAAUUUCACAAACUCCACCUUAAAACAAAAAUUCCCUGCCUAGACCAUUCCAACCUCCAGCCCUGCUUUAUCUGAAAACACCCUUCCUUACACCCUUGGUGCCUUUGAAGAUUUUAGUCCCCCCCAAACAUACCCAUGACUGUUUUUCUUUUUGCAUCUGUCAUGUCGAUACUUGGCUGCAGUCCCUGUUGAUGGAACAAACCACUUUUCCAAGAAAGCAAGCGGGGAGGCAUCAGAAGACAGCUACUGAAUGAUCCAAGCUGUGCUCUGGGCAGGCAAGUGAGUAAAGAAGGCCAGACUCUGAAGUGCCUUCUAAGGAAGCAGUCGCUCCUCCAGCCAGCAAACAGGCUUAUAGUUCAGCUGCAAGGAGGCAGGGGAAGAAAAGUAAUUUUAUGGUCAGAAGGCAGAGAGGGGCCAAGUUCGAGUGUCACCCUGAGGCCCAAGGCUUGGUUCCCCAAUCUGUGGCAUUAUGGGAAGGUGUGGAACCUUCAGGAGAUGGAGCCUAGUGGGGAGGAAGUGAAAUUAUUCGGGAUGCACCCUUGAGCAGGACAUUGGCACCCUGGCACCUCCGCUCCCUCUCUCUCUGCUUCCUGGCCCCCAUGAGGUGAACAGGUGCCACACAUUCCCACCAUGAUGAACUUCCUCACCAUGAGCACAUAGCAACAGG